rnacentral:rRNA from 1 species
GACGAACGCUGGCGGCGUACUUAACACAUGCAAGUCGAGCGGUAAGGCCCUUUCGGGGGUACGACGAGCGGCGAACGGGUAGGAGUAACAACGUGGGUGGACCUCGCCCUCCAGCUCUGGGGAGUAAGCCUCGGGAAACCGGGGUACUAAUAACUGGAUAUGACUCCAUGACGCAUGUUGUGGGGUGGAAAGCCUUGUGCGGCUGAGGAUGGGCCCGCGGCCUAUCAGCUUGUUGGUGGGGUGAUGGCCUACCAAGGCGACGACGGGUAGCCGGCCUGAGAGGGCGACCGGCCACACUGGGACUGAGACACGGCCCAGACUCCUACGGGAGGGCAGCAGUGGGGAAUCUUGCGCAAUGGGCGAAAGCCUGACGCAGCGACGCCGCGUGAGGGAUGACGGCCU